rnacentral:rRNA from 1 species
GACGAACGCUGGCGGCGUGCUUAACACAUGCAAGUCGAACGAGAGCGUAGAGAAAGCUUGCUUUUUCUACAAUCUAGUGGCAAACGGGUGAGUAACGCGUAAACAACCUGCCCUACGGAUGGGGACAACAGCUGGAAACGGCUGCUAAUACCGAAUACGUUCCGAAAGUCGCAUGACUAUCGGAAGAAAGGAUGGCCUCUAUUUAUAAGCUAUCGCCGGAGGAGGGGUUUGCGUCUGCUUAGCUAGUUGGAGGGGUAACGGCCCACCAAGGCGACGAUCAGUAGCCGGUCUGAGAGGAUGAACGGCCACAUUGGAACUGAGACACGGUCCAGACUCCUACGGGAGGCAGCAGGGGGGGAUCUUCCGCAAAGGGCGAAAGCCUGACGGAGCAACGCCGCGGGAGUGAAGACGGCCUUCGGGUUGUAAAGCUCUGUUAUACGGGACGAAUAAUCUUGUGGUUAAUACCCAUGAGAAGUGACGGUACCGUAAGAGAAAGCCACGGCUAACUACGUG